AUGGCUACAACUUCCAGGCCGCUGGCUGUGGAGCGAGGCGCCGCCGCGGAGGCAUGGACACCCGAAGGCGAGGACGAACGGCCGCCCAGUCUGCCUCCCCAGAGCCCGCUCUGCGCGCUGGGGCCCUCCCCGCCCUCGCCUCUCGCAGCGCCCCGCUCGCUCGCCCCGCGCUCGGGCCGCCCGCCUGACGAGCGACCGGGGCUCUCGUGUGACGUUCCUGCUGGCGACCGGGAAGUUUUCCACAGGCCACAACUUUUGCAAAGAGGGGACCUGGGAAAAACACCCGCGCCGCUUAUACCCUCAAAGCUGAACUUGGCAGGACACUCAAGGCGACCUGUCAAGCCCACCCGAGGGGAAGAAGCUGUGCUGUCCCGCCCUUUUCUCCUCAGGCCACCCUGGUCGCCAAGGAGUCCCGGGCCGGGCCGGGGGUGCCGAAAGCCCCAGCGCUGCUGGUGAUUUAUCGCUCCGGGCUCUGCCAAGCCGGCGCGGGCUCUCGCAAGCCUGACAGACCAGGAACUACUUGAAAAAAGUAAGGCACGGUCGAGGAAGCCUGGUUUUUGUGGUUCCACAAACCACAAAUCAAACGAGAGAGGCCCCCGAAGCGGGAAGAAAAGUCAGUACAAACUUGUUCCUGUCACCUUUGGAAAGAAAAAGUUCCUCACCAGGCGCGGGGCGUACUUUGUCCUGGGCAGGGACGCGCUUGCCGGGGAUUGGGUGACCCCCAUCCCUCCUUGGCCGCUCACCUCCUGCGGAGGAAGGUCUGUCAGCCGCCUGCCUCCUCCUGGCUCAGGGCACAGGACUUAUCCUGCCCCGGCGCUGCGGACCCCAGGAUUGCCUCCCACGAGCGCGCGGGCGGGGAAGAGGAAGAGGCAGACUGGGCGCCGCGGGGUCCUCACCGCCCUGGGGCAUUAGGAGCGCUGAACCGCGAUGGAGGCCUCGAGGCCCGGGCUUGCGAGACCGCACUGCUGAGUGGCCGCCGGAGCUCGGCCUACUGCUCUCCCUCACCAGCCUCCUGGUGGACACGGUCUCCACUCUCCAGCCCGCCAGCCGUGGGGGAGUCCCGAACCAGCUCGCACCCAGCCUCUUUGCCCGUCUUCCUCGCGGGAGCCGCACGGCGACGAAGACUGACGGAAGAGGACGGACAGGGUGACCCAUCUCCCGAUGCGGCGCCAGAGGUUAGCCUAACUCCAACGGACUCAGAGUCUGGGCUGUAUAAGGAUGCCCUCCGCACUUCCAUCAGGGGUCGGGACGAGAUGUCUCCAGACCCACCUUCUCUCACGCCCAGGGCGCUCCUGCAGAAUGGGAACAUCGUACUGAAGACCGGUGGGCUGCAUGCGACCCAAAUACAAUGGGUCCCUUGCUCGACCCGCUCUCGCACGCCCCCUUUUCCCCCAACGAGUUGUCCCCUCUAGAAUGUGAUCGGUGACCACAGUUUGGCCAACCCGAUCUGGCUUCUGAAGAUGAGGUCGGCUAUUCUGGGAGCUGAGAAGGGCAGAGAGCUUAGUGGUUUCAUCCGAGAUCUGGCAGAUCUGCUCCUUCCCACGCUUCCGUCCAGGGGUCGAGUCCUAGAGAAGGGUGGGCCUCGAGGGAGCCCUUUCCCGGAUGCAAGUCGAAGCCUAGCUGCUUGGCACACACUCGGGCUGGCACAUGCCCGCACCCUCGAAGCGAUCUGGUAUCUUAGCGCUUGUUUCCUCUCCUGCUCCUUUGAGCUCUUCGAAGCCGCGUUUCCCAGGGAGGCGGACAGGGCCGGGCUAAGCAGGACAGAAGGCAGCGCUUUUUGUUGAAUCUCAUAGCUACUUUACCAAAAAGGCCAGAAGAGCCAUUUUACAUCUCCGUAGUCACAGGAAUUAGCUUUUUUCUCUAAGAUGCCCCCAUUAGCCAAUUAAACCACCAUUGGUGGGCAGUAGGGUGAAAGAUAGUGGCUUGGUGGUUAAGAGCUCGGAGUCUGAGCUCUCUGAAGACAGAUUUUUCCCGCCCUGCCACUUUCUAGUUGGUGACCUUGGCGAGCAAGGUACUCAGCCUCUGUGUACCUCAGUUUGUUAUUUGUAAAAUGGGACUUACAAUAGUGCCCCUAGUAGAGUGGCUGAAGGUUUAAGAGUUAAUAUAUGCAAAGUCUUUAGGACUGUGCUGAGCGUACAGUAGGACCUCUCGAGUGGUCGCAGUCGGCUGCUCUAGGACUCAUCUCCGUUUGUGAAAACCCGCCCAGAUUCCGGUCCUCCCAGGCCGCAACUGAAGUUUAGAGACUUUGCCGAAUAGCUGUUUAGUCUCCCCCAACCCCCUGGCCCUCGGAGCUCCUGAAAAAAAGUUCUUAAUGAAGUAAUGUUGAGAGCGUCCAUUAAAAAUGCAGUGCUGGGAG